rnacentral:rRNA from 1 species
GACGAACGCUGGCGGCGUGCUUAACACAUGCAAGUCGAACGGAAAGGCCCUGCUUUUGUGGGGUGCUCGAGUGGCGAACGGGUGAGUAACACGUGAGUAACCUGCCCUUGACUUUGGGAUAACUUCAGGAAACUGGGGCUAAUACCGGAUAGGAGCUCCUGCUGCAUGGUGGGGGUUGGAAAGUUUCGGCGGUUGGGGAUGGACUCGCGGCUUAUCAGCUUGUUGGUGGGGUAGUGGCUUACCAAGGCUUUGACGGGUAGCCGGCCUGAGAGGGUGACCGGCCACAUUGGGACUGAGGUAUGGCCCAGACUCCUACGGGAGGCAGCAGUGGGGAAUAUUGCACAAUGGGCGGAAGCCUGAUGCAGCAACGCCGCGUGCGGGAUGACGGCCUUCGGGUUGUAAACCGCUUUCGCCUGUGACGAAGCGUGAGUGACGGUAAUGGGUAAAGAAGCACCGGCUAACUACGUG